GAUGAAGAACGUAGCGAAAUGCGAUAAGUAGUGUGAAUUGCAGAAUUCAGUGAAUCAUCGAAUCUUUGAACGCACAUUGCGCCCCUUGGUAUUCCGAGGGGCAUGCCUGUUCGAGCGUCAUUAUAACCCUUCAAGCUCAGCUUGGUGUUGGGGCCUGCUGUAACUAGUAGCCCUUAAAAUCAGUGGCAGUGCUAUUAGGCUCUAAGCGUAGUAAUUCUUCUCGCUAUAGUGUGUAGUGAGCGCUUGCCAGAACCCCAAACUUUUAUAUGAUUGACCUCGGAUCAGGUAGGGAUACCCGCUGAACUUAAGCAUAUCAAUAAGCGGAGGA
rnacentral:misc_RNA from 1 species